CCUACGGGUGGCAGCAGUGGGGAAUAUUGCACAAUGGGGGAAACCCUGAUGCAGCGACGCCGCGUGAAGGAAGAAGUAUUUCGGUAUGUAAACUUCUAUCAGCAGGGAAGAACAUGACGGUACCUGACUAAGAAGCCCCGGCUAACUACGUGCCAGCAGCCGCGGUAAUACGUUGGGGGCAAGCGCUAUCCGGAUUUACUGGGUGUAAAGGGCGCGUAGGCGGCGAUGCAAGUCAGAAGUGAAAGCCCGGGGCUCAACUCCGGGACUGCUUUUGAAACUGUAUGGCUAGAUGUCAGGAGAGGCAAGUGGAAGUCCUAGUGUAGCGGUGAAAUGCGUAGAUAUUAGGAGGAACACCAGUGGCGAAGGCGGCUUGCUGGACUGUAAAUGACGCUGAGGCUCGAAAGCGUGGGGAGCAAACAGGAUUAGAUACCCGGGUAGUC
rnacentral:rRNA from 1 species